rnacentral:rRNA from 1 species
AGUGAACGCUGGCGGUAGGCCUAACACAUGCAAGUCGAACGGCAGCACAGUAAGAGCUUGCUCUUACGGGUGGCGAGUGGCGGACGGGUGAGGAAUACAUCGGAAUCUACUUUUUCGUGGGGGAUAACGUAGGGAAACUUACGCUAAUACCGCAUACGACCUACGGGUGAAAGCAGGGGAUCUUCGGACCUUGCGCGAUUGAAUGAGCCGAUGUCGGAUUAGCUAGUUGGCGGGGUAAAGGCCCACCAAGGCGACGAUCCGUAGCUGGGCUGAGAGGAUGAUCAGCGACACUGGAACUGAGACACGGUCCAGACUCCUACGGGAGGCAGCAGUGGGGAAUAUUGGACAAUGGGCGCAAGCCUGAUCCAGCCAUACCGCGUGGGUGAAGAAGGCCUUCGGGUUGUAAAGCCCUUUUGUUGGGAAAGAAAAGCAGCAGGUUAAUACCCCGCUGUUCUGACGGUACCCAAAGAAUAAGCACCGGCUAACUUCGUG